GGGAGCAUCCUAUAACUCUCCUAUAACUGUUCUGAGACCAGUGCAGACAGACAGCACACUGGAGGUUAAGUCAUGCACUAAAUAGGGAGCAAGGGAGCAUCCUAUAGCUCUCUAUAACUGUUCUGAGACCAGUGCAGACAGACAGCACACUGGAGGUUAAGUCAUGCACUAAAUAGGGAGCAAGGGAGCAUUCUAUAGCUCUCCUAUAACUGUUCUGAGACCAGUGCAGACAGACAGCACACUGGAGGUUAAGUCAUGCACUAAAUAGGGAGCAAGGGAGCAUCCUAUAGCUCUCUAUAACUGUUCUGAGACCAGUGCAGACAGACAGCACACUGGAGGUCAAGUCAUGCACUAAAUAGGGAGCAAGGGAGCAUCCUAUAGCGCUCUAUAACUGUUCUGAGACCAGUGCAGACAGACAGCACACUGGAGGUCAAGUCAUGCACUAAAUAGGGAGCAAGG